GGUAACCCUUCUUAUUCUUGUGCGAGUUUUUUAAAGAAAAUAUUGAAUUGGAAAACACUAAUCCAGUAGGCUAUCCCAGUCUUACUAAAAUGUUUUGAACAACACAAACUGAGGAUAACAACCUAUUUUCAAGAUUUGGUGCAACCCGAUGGCCAAAAUCCAAUCAGAUUAUUUUUGAACAACUGGCCCCAGACUAUUACAGUUGAGGCGGACUCUUUGAUUAUAUUACGAGAAUAUCACCAUAAUGGUACAGCUACAAAUGGGAAACUAAAAAAGGCCAUGCCACAAGGUAUCAGACUGGUCUGCAGGGUGUUCUCAGGUGCCGUCACUGGAUAAACUAGACCGAGGGACUUUUGAAUUCUUACAUGGCUCACGGGAAACUGACUGGGGAUGCAGUCUCCAAAAAGAACACAAAUAACCUUAAAAUAUGCACAAUGCUCUCUCACACAUGGACUGGAUUGCACAGCAUGCUUCAAAGAUGACAGACCAAGAUUCUGAGAAACUCACCAGACCAGACCUCAAAAAAUCCCUGGCUGCAGAACUGAGCACCAGCAGAGAUGACAGAUUUCAAAUCAACUGAGAUGAAUGGCAUUGCAAGACCUCCUAAUGCUGGCCUAGCGCGUUGAGCUAUCUCAGCCACCAUAAAAACCAACCACCAAUGGAUCCUCUGCAGUGAAUGGAUGCCAUUAGAAUGAGUGUUCAAACAGCUGAUAAAAACAUCCUCAAGUAAUCCACAACUUUAAUUCCAUCAAGUAAAGUUUUGUGAAGUGAAAAGCUGUGUGUUAGUAUGAAACAAAUUAAUAAUUAAGGUGUUUUAACUUUAAA